rnacentral:rRNA from 1 species
UACGUAUGUCGCAAGCGUUAUCCGGAAUUAUUGGGCGUAAAGCGCGUCUAGGCGGUCUUGUAAGUCUGAUGUGAAAAUGCGGGGCUCAACUCCGUAUUGCGUUGGAAACUGCUUGACUAGAGUACUGGAGAGGUGGGCGGAACUACAAGUGUAGAGGUGAAAUUCGUAGAUAUUUGUAGGAAUGCCGAUAGAGAAGUCAGCUCACUGGACAGAUACUGACGCUGAAGCGCGAAAGCGUGGGGAGCAAACCGG